UGGGGAAUAUUGCACAAUGGGCGCAAGCCUGAUGCAGCCAUGCCGCGUGUAUGAAGAAGGCCUUCGGGUUGUAAAGUACUUUCAGUCGGGAGGAAGGUGGUAAGGUUAAUAACCUUCUCAAUUGACGUUACCGACAGAAGAAGCACCGGCUAACUCCGUGCCAGCAGCCGCGGUAAUACGGAGGGUGCAAGCGUUAACCGGAAUUACUGGGCGUAAAGCGCACGCAGGCGGUUGAUUGAGUCAGAUGUGAAAUCCCCGGGCUUAACCCGGGAAUUGAAUCUGGUACUGACCAGCUGGAGUCAGGUAGAGGGGGGUAGAAUUCAAUGUGUGGCGGUGAAAUGAGUGGAGAUGGGGAGGAAUACCGGUGGCGAAGGCGGGCCCCUGGACAAAGACUGACGCACACGUGCGAAAGCGUGGGAGGCAAACAGG
rnacentral:rRNA from 1 species